rnacentral:lncRNA from 1 species
AAGUUUAUACUUCAUAGUUCAUACUCCAUACUUCCAUAUGGUAAAACUCAAAAGUCCAUAAAUUACAAAAUACAAAUAGAGUCUAAUGUUAAAAGUUUAUACAUCACAAAACAAGAACCCGAAAUAUUUUGGAGGAAAGUAGAUCAAAUCCUUCUUGCAAGAUCAACUUGCAUCUGCAUAAAAAAAUAAAUCAAUUUAAACAAGUUAAGUAUUACAGACCAAAUCAAGCAAGAAUCAUUUAGCAAACAUUGAGACUAAGAGCAAAGGAACAAAAUCAGAAAACGUAUGCCUAACUUCCUGAACAGCAGACCUUUUUGGCUAAAAACAGUAUAACUCGGCUAAGAAUAUCAGGUUGGUCUCUUCAUAACAAUUGUAACAGACAACCUAAAGAUUAUUUGAGAACUGGAAUCGCAGCAAAAGGAUUUUUCUACAAAUACUUAUGAUUUUCCAAAGUUCAUAUACAGUAGAGAAAAACUACUAACUUCCUGAGUUCCUGACCAGCAGACCUUUUUGGCUAAAAACAGUAUAGCUCGGCUAAGAAUAUCAAGUUAGUCUCUUCAUAACAAUUGUAACAGACAACCUAAAGAUUAUUUGAGAACUGGAAUCGCAGCAAAUAGAAUUUUCUACAAAUACUUAUGAUUUUCCAAAAUUCCUAUACAGUAGAUACAGUAGAGAAAAACUGCUAACUUCCUGAGUUCCUGUCUUCCUGAUCAGCAGACCUUUUUGGCUAAAAACAGUAUAGCUCGGCUACGAAUUUCAAUCUCUUCAUAAGAAUUGUAACAGACAACCUGAAGAUUAUUUGAGAACUCGAAUCGCAGCAAAAAGAAUUUUCUACAAAUACUUAUGAUUUUCCAAAAUUCCUAUACAGUAGAGAAAAACUGCUAACUUCCUGAGUUCCUGUCUUCCUGACCAGCAGACCUUGUUGGCUAAAAACAGUAUAGCUCGGCUAAGAAUUUCAAGUUGGUCUCUUCAUAACAAUUGUAAUAGACAACCUAAAGAUUAUUUGAGAACUGGAAUCGCAGCAAAAUGAUUUUUCUACAAAUACUUAUGAUUUUCCAAAGUUCAUAUACAGUAGAGAAGAUGAGGACGUUGUGAAAAGAAUAAAAAAUACCUGAGAAGAUGAGGACGAUUUGUCCAUUGCACUGAUCGCAGCACCACGACCACGGCCACGACCAGUUGAGCCCUGCUUCGAUGGGUUCAAUUUACCCCUCUUCAUUGUGAUGGUCAGGCCGAGAGGAGAGGAGAGGAGAGGUUGGAGACUUGGAGGAUUGGAGUCCGGUGGCGGAGCGGGGAGAUGAGAUCAAAUUAGGGAGGAGAGGAGGGCAGGAGGCGACAAAGAAAAAAAGGACUAGAGGAGCCAAGGAGAGGUCGAGAGGGAUGAGAGGAGG